UCGAACGGCAGCACAGUAAGAGCUUGCUCUUAUGGGUGGCGAGUGGCGGACGGGUGAGGAAUACAUCGGAAUCUACUUUUUCGUGGGGGAUAACGUAGGGAAACUUACGCUAAUACCGCAUACGACCUACGGGUGAAAGCAGGGGAUCUUCGGACCUUGCGCGAUUGAAUGAGCCGAUGUCGGAUUAGCUAGUUGGCGGGGUAAAGGCCCACCAAGGCGACGAUCCGUAGCUGGUCUGAGAGGAUGAUCAGCCACACUGGAACUGAGACACGGUCCAGACUCCUACGGGAGGCAGCAGUGGGGAAUAUUGGACAAUGGGCGCAAGCCUGAUCCAGCCAUACCGCGUGGGUGAAGAAGGCCUUCGGGUUGUAAAGCCCUUUUGUUGGGAAAGAAAUCCAGCCGGUUAAUACCUGGUUGGGAUGACGGUACCCAAAGAAUAAGCACCGGCUAACUUCGUGCCAGCAGCCGCGGUAAUACGAAGGGUGCAAGCGUUACUCGGAAUUACUGGGCGUAAAGCGUGCGUAGGUGGUUGUUUAAGUCUGUUGUGAAAGCCCUGGGCUCAACCUGGGAACUGCAGUGGAAACUGGAUAACUAGAGUGUGGUAGAGGGUAGCGGAAUUCCCGGUGUAGC
rnacentral:rRNA from 1 species